GUGCCCCUGGAAUUCAAAAACGUAUUCAGCGUCCUGACAGGCAAAGACAUCACAUUAGGAAUUGCGAAAAGGGUUGCAAAGCGACUUCGAGUUCAACAACUUGAUACCACCCGGCUAACACCGAGACAUUCUUAGAAGACCUGUCGCACGUGUCUGAGCUUUUGGGUGAAUCUUCAGUUUUAUUCUUUACCUCUUCCUCUACAUCUCGUAACUUUCAAUGGCUUUACAUACCCCACCCCUUAAUUGAGAGCAGGACAGCCAGCCGGAGAAUGCACUGGCUAACCUGCACGUCACUCCUCCCAAUUUUUGCCUUUUACCCUCCUGGAUGUAUGCGCUUUGUUAAGACGAACGACACUGUACGAAGAUGUGCCCAAUGCGCAAUAAAUAUAAGAAUGGUG